UCGGACAACGCGUGUGGAGCUAAUCCAUCCAGAUGUGCAGAUGUGUCAGUCUAGUGGAGAUUACCAGUAAUACUGAGAGCGAUGCUGUUUCUCUGUAAAAUCCUUGUGAAUGAUUGGAGAGCAGAUUGAAAUUCUUAAACGCUCACUACGUCCAUCUAUUAUUCAAGCAAGGUCUUUUGGGUAUGGCUAGUCCUCUUCUGGGAAUCAUACCAGGCCCCACCCCCCAGUUCUGAGUAAAUUCUCGACAUGGAGGGCUAUAGCUGCAUGCGCCCAUGUCAAAUAAUUCUAGUUGUUUAGGGUUAUUCUGACAGAUCUGUUGGACUAGUAUCAAAUGCAUCCAAAAGAGUCUCUGACCUCUUGGUGAUGAGAUGACGUGUAAAUGCUGUGAAACUGUCGUUCUCUUCACAACUCUACAUGAUUGUGCAAUGCUGCGCCGCUGAAACAGGGUCCUUCGGUGGAAGCAACUUUAGAAAUGAGGUGGAAGUUGGUCGAAGUGAGGCGCAUGGUUUCAGAACAUAAUUUGAGCCUACACACGUCACACACGCUUCACAAAUCUCUUUUGCUAGUACUGGGAAUGCUUCAUACUCUAGUAGCUAUUACUUACUCGAUCAUUUCUAGAUCUUCAAAAUAGUGGACUGCGAAGCCUAGGAAUCGCACAGAACUGUUAUGCUGAUGGGUCUUAGUUUCGUAGCUUAAAAAAUUGUUGGUAUAACAAUCCUGUGCGUCUAGCUCACAUCGAGAGUUUAGAGUCUUGUCGAAGCUUUCAAAUGCUGUCAACGCCUUGUCUCAGGCUCUUAUGUUUGUGCGCACACUGUUACUUGUUGACAGGUUGGACAAGUCUAAGUCUAGCUGCACACAUCACCAUACACGCCUUGUCCUCAUAGCUACAUACAGGCACUACUCCAUUGAUUUGCUAUGUGUGUUCCGUGCUGAGCAUCGUGCCUCAUAUCAAUCCGUCGUGCACUAUGUUAUAUUGCCACCGAUCUUUCGCAAAUAGCGUAAAUGGUGAAGUUUCCUUCUUCGACCGAUUUCUCUUUUCAUUCUUGUCUUUUGUGUUCCAAAACCUCCAACUCCUUGCUUCAAGUUGAGAUCAAAGAGGAGCGUAAAUCAUUUUCACCUGCGCUGGAGUUGUGACCUUCAGAUCAGCAUGUUGAAGGUGAAGUUGGAAUCCGCUGCUGCGAUGCUUCUUUCUCUCUUCGAGCUCAUUCAAGUUCUCCUUGGAAUUUUGCUAGUAUGUGUAUGCGUCCGAGUGGUGUCAUAUCUUGAACACAAAGCUGCGAAGCGUUCUCUGACUCUCAUUCCCGUCUCCUUCAUGUAUUACCUUACUACCCAGCUCUGCUUUUCCUUGGUUCUGGUCACGUGCUUGUUCCGGUUCCUUGGGCUGCAGCAAUAUACCGCAUGGGGAAUUCUUUCACCAGUGGUAUGUGGACACUAGCAAAGUAGGCUCCAUGGAGUGGAAACGCACUAAAUGAGGAACAAGAAGAACUCCAAGACAUUCGUCUCCGUUGCACGCCACCGAAGGAAUUACUUGGCUUGCCCAGCAGCUCGACCAUUUUCUCCUUCAUGAAAGUUGCUGAAAAGUUACAAACACACAAGAAAUGGCGAAGCAAUCAACAAAGUGGAACCCCUGGGGAAACCGUCGGUAGUCCAGGCUUAUUCAUAAGAUUUCCCACCAAGAGCAUAAAUCUUCAAGUUGAUAGACCUUGGCAUUACUCAAUCGAAAUCAUUACGCUUUAAUGUACAAAACGAUAGAAAAUGAACGUCAAAUCAUUCACUGACUGUACAAGCUCCAUGCAGCGGAAAAUAAGACCACUCAACUUCUGAGCAUCAGAUAAUAAGACACAUGUUUUCAGACAAUAUUCAUGAGCUGCUCACAUUCUUGCACAUUCUGCUCGAACGUCACACUUGACAAACAGUUAGCAGUUCUAGCUUUCUCUAUUCAUAUCAAUCCUGAAUUCCAGUGAUCACUCAAUAGCAAAAAUGUUGUUGCAAUUGUUGAGAGCAUUAAAUGUAGCCAGUGCUCUCCAUAAUAUUUACUUUAGUUUAUAGUAAAACUGUUGUAAACUUUAGCUACAAUUUUUGGAAUGUAGUGGGGAGAAACUGUUUAUUUUCUUCUCUUCUCUUUGUAUAUGAGAAAUAAUCACAUCAAUAUACUCUCUCUAAUGUGUGUGUGUAUUUGUGCACAUUACUUCUAACUA